UUUGCACACGUUUCUCGAGGUCCAGCCCGAAAGCCUGCGCCCUGGGCGUCCCUGCUUCGGCCCCCAGAGGGGGGUGCGCUGCUCGCUCCCCUCGCUCCACCUCCCGCGUAGCCUGCGGGCCCCUGGCGGCCCAGGGCAUGGGGCAGAGACGCCAUGCCGGCUGAUACACACGCCCGGAGGAGGUGAGGGAGGAAGCCACUUGAAAAUAAACAGGUGCGGCCGGCGGGGGACAGGGAAAGAGAUCACAGCGAAGACCCAGAAGAAACAAAAGGCAAGCGAAUGUAAGAGCUUCACCACCUUCCCACUCCAGGACGGUGGACAACAAGAGGUUUGAAAGCUGUGAUGUCCUCACUGUCUUCCGUCCCUCUCACGGAAUGAAAAGUCGUUUUUGCCAGAAUAUUAUACCUGCAAGAUCUCACGGGGAGGAGACUGCAGCCCACCCGCUGGAGAUUUUUGCCUACAGAAAGCUUCCCUUUUUUUCCAACCCAAAGACAGACUUUUAUAGCCUCUCCAACUCCCCUUGAAUUUUUAAGAGAGAGAAAGAAAAGCCCCAAAGUGAAAGAUAGUGGUCAUUUAUGCCUUGGAAAGAUAAAUGGGUGUUUUAGUUUUGUUUUUAAAUGAAUUUUCCUUUUCUAAAGAAUUUCUUUCAAAAAAUUAGUGGGAGUUGAGGUGAGGCAUGUGUUUUAUAUUUUUAUAUCCACUUUAGUAGGUUUUAAUAUAACGUCUUGAGUCCCUUUUGAAUUUCUUUAUGACCCAGGUCAAGCUGCCCUGAUUCAGGUUCCACGCAGCUAAAAAUUAAAUUGUAGCUUCCAUCCAUGUCACAAAUAUGUAAGCUGGGGAGGUAACCUACUAUCAGGCCAUAUUUACAGAAUGGCUAAAAAACUAAGCUAAACUUCUCGAAGAUGUCAAUACCUAAGUGUCUUUGGGAUACUUCCUGAAACUACCUGUGAGAAUCUGUUCAUUUUUUCUUUUAAUUAGGACUUUAUUUUACUGAAAAAAAAAAAACUUGAAUGAAGAGAGCCAAAGUACAUGGUGAUGUGAGUGUGAGUCAUGGAACUUGUUCUUUUUUCUGAAUAAUUAUUUCACUUAAGAAGACAUCCAGAUACAUCCAGAUAAUUUGACUAUUUGCCGACCUCUUGGAUGUACCAUAGAUUCUUAUGCAUUGGAUCCUUGAAGACUUAACGCUUCAGGAUGGCAUGCUGGGCACACAAGUUCACUUCCCCCUUGCAAAGCCACAUGACAUUUACGGUAAAGAAAUAAGGCAGAAAUAAAGCCAUGACACUACUGUGACCAGAAGGAAGGCCAUCCGAGAGAAAUAUACUUUUGUGAAGUUCUUGGCAAGAAGAAAGAGGAGAGGACCAGGCCGGGCGCGGUAGCUCACGCCUGUAGUCCCAGCACUUUGGGACAAGGCGGGUGGAUUACAAGGUCAGGAGAUCGAGACCAUCCUUGCUAACACGGUGAAACCCCGUCUCUACUAAAAGUACGAAAAAUUAGCCGGGCGUGGUGGUGGGCGCCUGUAGUCCCAGCUAUUGGGGAGGCUAAGGCAGGAGAAUGGCGUGAACCCAGGAGGUGGAGUUUGCAGUGAGCCGAGAUCAUGCCACUGCACUCCAGCCUGGGCAACACUGCAAGACUCCGUCUCAAAAAAAAAAAAAAAAGAAAAGAAAAGAUAAAUAAAAUUGAUAAUUUGACUAUUUGCCGACCUCUUGGAUGUACCAUAGAUUCUUAUGCAUUGGAUCCUUGAAGACUUACACUUCAGGAUGGCAUGCCAGGCACACAAGUUCACUUCCCCCUUGCGAAGCCACAUGACAUUUAUGGUAAAGAAAUAAGGCAGAAAUAAAGUCAUGACACUACUGUGACCAGUGCAGUGGCAUGACCAUAACUCACUGCAGCCUCAAAUUCCUGGGUUCAAGGGAUCCUCCUACCUCAGCCUACUAUGGAGUAGCUGAGACUACAGGCACGUGCCACCAUGCUUGUCUAAUUUUUUUUUUUAAGUACUGGUAGAGAUGGGUACCUUGCUUUGUUGCCCAGGCUAGUCUUAAACUCCAGGCCUCAAACCAUGCUCCCACCCCAGCCUCCUGAAGCACUAGGAUUACAGGCAUGAGCCACUGCAUCAAGCCCAAAAGAGGCUUCUUAUAAAAAAGGAACAACCAGAAAACAAGAAAGGGUUACUGGAAAUUAAAAAUAUGGCUAAAGUGCCUCGUUAGCUCAGUCGGUAGCGCUUCAGUCUCAUAAAAAUAUGGCUGCUAAAAAAUUUUACCUGUAACACAAACACUGAAAAAUGAAAUCAAGGAAAUCUACCAAAAUGAUGAGUAAAAAGAAAUAGAAAGUAUGAAACAAAAGUUACAAUCAGAGAAUCAAUAGAAGUCCUACACCCGCCUAACAGAACUGUCAGAAGAAAGCUGAAAAAAAAAUGUGCAGGAGAAAAUCAUUGAAUAAACCAUAGGUGAAGAACGGAUAAACAAAAUGUGGUAUAUACAUACAAUGAAAUAUUAUCCAGUCACAAAAAGGAAAGGAGCUACAUGCUACAACAUGGAUGAACCUUGACAACAUUAUGCUGAGUGAGAAAAACCACACACAAAGGCACAAAGGCCACAUAUUGUAUGAUUCCAUUUAUAUGAAAAGUCCAGAACAGGCAAAGCCAUAGAGACAGAGAGUAAAUUAGUGGUUUCCAGGGACUGGGGGAAAAGGGUAAUGAGUGAGUGAUUGCUAAUGGGUGUGGGAUUUCUUUUGGGGGUGAUGAAAAUGUUCUGAAGCUAGAUUGUGGUGAUGGUUGCACAGCUUUGUAAAUAUAAAAAAACCGUUUCUUUGUAUGCUUUAAAAGGGUGAAUUUUAUGGUGUGUGAAUUAUUUAUUUUUAACUAAAAAAAAAAAGUAGAAGAAAAUCUCCAGAACUGAAAAUAAAAAGAUUGAAGGUUCUAUAUGAAGCAGAG
rnacentral:lncRNA from 1 species